GCGGAGGGUUGCGCUCAACUUUCAGCCAUUCAGAAGUUGUCUCGGCAGCCUGGCCCUUCGCUGUCGGCGGACUAACCCCGGGCUCCCUCCUGCGGGCUCGGGUUGGGCGUGGAGGUCUUCUCGCUUGGGAGCCUGGAGGUCCAUCAGCCGAGCCCCAAAGGGAGGUCCAGGUGGGCACCCAAGCUGGGGAUGCGGAGAGGAGGUGUCGCCGGCUGGGAGGAAAGUCGAUGUCAUCCGCACAGAGGCAGAGGUGGACAGAGGCCGAGUCUCUCUCUGGACAAACACACAAGAGGGAUGGGAAAGAAGAGGCUCCUUUCUCUCUCUCUCCGGGCUGCCAGAAAUAGACACAGCCGCCCGCUUCCCUCCCCUGCUGGAAUCUCUCUUGGGAAGGUGAAGGACAUUAAAUCAAUUACAAAGUUCCAACAUUAAAUCAAUUACAAAGCUCCGUCAUUCAUUGGUGAAUGUUCAACCCACUGAGGAAUUAGUUCUGCCUCAGACAUUCCUGGCAAUCUGUAGAUGACAUCACUUGAUGACUCACUGCUCCAGGUGGGUCUGUCUUCCAAUCAAAAGGAUGCGCCCUGAAGCAGCUCUUUGUCAACUCCAAAUUUGAUGCAGAUGGACCUGGAAUGUCGUAAGCUGGGUGUGAGCAGAAGAGCAGCUAGUGACGAAAAAAAUGAGUCAGGAAAACUACACAAUACUCACGCAGCCUCUCUAUUAUGAUGCUAGGCCAAAGAAGGAACUGAGAGUUACCUUUUCCCUGUCUAAAGAGCGAACUUGCUAUAUUUCCUGGCCUAUGGCUUUUCUCCACUAUUCUAAAUAUGAAAAGACCUGGCUCAUCCCCCUGAGCACUGGACUAGGCUGGGAGCGAGCCCAGCAAAUGUCAAGUUGAUCUGGUGAGAUCAUGGUGGGAAGUGCAUUUCUUCUGCCCAGAUAGUCCUUGGUUAAAAAUGGUAAUUGAGGACGGAAGUUCUGUCCCUAAGCAAUAUGGUUAUAAAGCAUGAUGUCAUGUGACUGCAUCGCUUAGCAACAGUAAUCCCAGGAGUCCCUAUUGCUGAGGUUAAUUGAACCCCACUGGCUAUUAGAUGAGGACUCACCCCAUCUCAGUCCAAACCAUUCCUGGCUUAGUCUCUCCCAACUCCAAGAUCCAGUUAGGUAAGAGGCUGCCUCUUUUCCUCCUGUUGAACUUCAUCACACCACAUGCCUAUCUUCCACACCAUGUCCGCCUAUUAGGUCACCCAUCAACCCGCUACUGCCAGCUGCUCCAUUGCCUAGCUCUCUCACUGUGCCUACUGCAUUGCCCGCCACUACUGUACUUGCUGGAACCUUCUUUCACACCACUGCCUUUUGCGUUCAGGGUUUAUCUCGCACCCUGUUCAGAGCCUCCAUUUACGCUAUAGCCGGGGCCUCCAUUGCUGCUUCACCCAGGGCUAGAAAGGGUCUUCUUCAGUGCUGGCACACAGGGCUUUUGUGAAAGGAGGCCUGAGUGGAGCUUGAAUUAGAGGCCCUGGCUGGCUGGUGUGCAAAUGCCAUGAUGGGUGGGGCCAGGCAGUGCGGGUGCUUGGCAGCCCUGGGUAGGUGAGUAGCCAAAAGGUGGUCCUAAGUGAAGGUGGGCACAAGUGUGCCUGCAUUUUAGUCAUAUGACAGUAGGGGGGGGGUUUGCUGGAAAUUCAGGGCCCAAUCUUAAGUCCCUUCAUUGAGUGCCUUUGUAACUUCAAAUGGAUACUGAAUGAGCAUUAAGAGAGCAUUAUCUGUAUGUAUAGUAUGGGUCUGUCAUGGCAUGUUUUUGUCUUUAUUGGUUGCAUUGUGACCCACCCAGGGUCUUUUUUUAAUCGGAUGGGUAGCCAUAUAAAUCUUUGACAUGAAUGAAAGGAUAAGUAAAUGGUGUGUAUGAGGGCUACUGAGCAGUGGUGGGAUUCAGAUAUGUGAACAAACCGGUUCUCUGUGUGGAUGCUGCUUCCGGAAGUCCAUUCUGGGCCUGGGCACCAAAAAAUAGCUACCGGUUCUGCCAAAUUGGUGCGAACUGGCUGAAUCCCACCACUGCUACUGAGUACAUGCAUUUUAACAUCCUAUUCUAAAAAUGCAGAAUGUGAGUGUGUUCAUACACAUUUAGCCUGAAUUGUUAUGUUCAGUGGGCUUACUCCCACAGGUUGAUAAAAUUACAACUGAAAUAAACAUGUUUUUACAACAAACUAGAAUGUGGUGCUUUCUCUGGGAUACUGCACGUGAUGGAAAUGAAACAAGAAGUGUGGAAGAGAAGAGAUGCAGUUUAGAUAGAAACCUAGCAAAAUAAAAAAAAAUACUUAUAUCUCAAUUGUUAGAGCUAAUAUUAAUGCCUUAUUUGAACAUGUGCAUAGAUAAUAUACCUCCUUUGUCCUGCUGUUUUAAACUAUAAUUAUCAUCAUCCCCAGUCAGUAUGACAGAAUGGUUGGUAGAGUCAGAACAUGGAGUUGCAUGCAAUAAAAAUGACUUUUAAUUAA